CCUACGGGAGGCAGCAGUGAGGAAUAUUGGUCAAUGGACGAGAGUCUGAACCAGCCAAGUAGCGUGAAGGAUGACGGCCCUAAGGGUUGUAAACUUCUUUUAUCAAGGAAUAAAAAGAGGCACGUGUGCCCUUUUGCAUGUACUUUAUGAAUAAGGAUCGGCUAACUCCAGGCCAGCAGCCGCGGUAAUACGGAGGAUCCGAGCGUUAUCCGGAGUUAGUGGGUUUAAAGGGAGCGUAGACGGGUUGUUAAGUCAGUUGUGAAAGUUUGCGGCGCAACCCUAGAAUUGCAGUUGAUACUGGCAGUCUUGAGUACAGUUGAGGUAGGCGGAAUGCGUGGUGUAGCGGUGAAAUGCUUAGAUAUCACGAAGAACCCCGAUUGCGAAGGCAGCUUACUAAACUGUGACUGACAUUGAUGCACGAAAGUGUGGGUAUCAAACAGGAUUAGAUACCCUUGUAGUC
rnacentral:rRNA from 1 species